GGCAUGCUCUUCUUCCUCACGACCAUCUGCUACUGGCUCAAAGCCGUCAGCUACCACCACUCCUGCGCCGACUACCGCGCUGCCCGCCGAGAGGAAGUGCUUCGGCCAGG
rnacentral:ribozyme from 1 species